GCGGCGAGUGAAGCGGCAAGAGCUCAGAUUUGGAAUCGUGUUUCGGCACGAGUUGUAAAUUGCAGGUUGGAGUCUUUGUGGAAGCGUGUGUCCAAGUCCCUUGGAACAGGGCGCCAUUGAGGGUGAGAGCCCCGUGGGAUGCGCGCGGAAGCAACAAGGCCCUUCUGACGAGUCGAGUUGUUUGGGAAUGCAGCUCUAAGCGGGUGGUAAAUUCCAUCUAAGGCUAAAUACUGGCGAGAGACCGAUAGCGAACAAGUACUGUGAAGGAAAGAUGAAAAGCACUUUGAAAAGAGAGUGAAACAGCACGUGAAAUUGUUGAAAGGGAAGGGUAUUGGGCCCGACAUGGGGAUUGCGCAUCUCUGCUCCUUGUGGGCGGGGCGCUGUGCUUUUCCUGGGCCAGCAUCGGUUUUUGCCGCAGGAGAAGGGGUACUGGAAUGUGGCUCCUCGGAGUGUUAUAGCCAGUGCCAGAUGCUGCGUGCGGGGACCGAGGGCUGCGACAUCUGUCUCGGAUGCUGGCACAACGGCGCAAUACCGCCCGUCUUGAACCACGGA
rnacentral:rRNA from 1 species